rnacentral:rRNA from 1 species
AGGACGAACGCUGGCGGCGUGCUUAACACAUGCAAGUCGAGCGGAAAGGCCCUUCGGGGUACUCGAGCGGCGAACGGGUGAGUAACACGUGAGCAACCUGCCCUUAGCUCUGGGAUAGCUCCGGGAAACCGGAAUUAAUACCGGAUAUGACCUAGGCCGACAUCGGCCGUGGUGGAAAGUUUUUCGGCUAGGGAUGGACUCGCGGCCUAUCAGCUAGUUGGUGGGGUAAUGGCCUACCAAGGCGACGACGGGUAGCCGGCCUGAGAGGGCGACCGGCCGACACUGGGACUGAGACACGGCCCAGACUCCUACGGGAGGCAGCAGUGGGAAUCUUGCGCAAUGGGCGAAAGCCUGACGCAGCGACGCCGCGUGGGGGAUGAAGGCCUUCGGGUUGUAAACCCCUUUCAGCAGGGACGAAGCGAAAGUGACGGUACCUGCAGAAGAAGCGCCGGCUAACUACGUGCCAGCAGCCGC